AUUAAUGAUUUAUAAAAAAAUUGACAAAAACUAAGCAAAACAUAAGAAAAACAUUGAAAUAUAGACAAGAAUAGCAUACACAUGACAAGAAUAUAAAUGAUUACUGUUUUUUUUGUUUGUUUUUUCUCCUGUCAAUUGUGUUUAUUUUCAUCAUUUUACGUAACUGUUUAUGUUUUAUUAUUAAUUAAGUUAAAAUUUCUAUUAAUUGUAAGUAUUACUAGAUAUAAAUAUUUAUAGAUUAAAUGCGCCUCUUAUGUUUUAAUUCUAA
rnacentral:sRNA from 1 species